AAAGAUGCGAAGAAUAGGAAAGUACAUGUGCAAAGUUUUCUCUAGAGAGGGUACGAAAGGUGGAACGUACCUGGAAACUACAGAUGGAAAGUCCCCUAUGAGCAGUUUCUGUGAAAAUGAGUAGCAGGAACCGGUGAAAGCCGUUACUGAUUCAUUAAGAUGCAUGCUUUUAAGCGUUCAUAAAUAAAGGUGGUACCACGAGCUCCUUCGUCCUUUAA
rnacentral:ncRNA from 1 species